UCGAGUAUGGUGUAAUGACUAACAUUGCCGCUCAUACUAAUAUCACGGUGUAGCAAAUCUUUGCGGCAGCUCAGGGUUCGACUCCCUGUACUCGAA